UACGUAGGACCCAAGCGUUAUUCGGAUUGAUUGGGCGUAAAGAGUUGCGUAGGUGGUUUGUUAAGCGAAUAGUGAAAUCUUGUGGCUCAACCAUAAGACUACUGUUCGAACUGGCAAACUCGAGAAUGGAAGAGGUAUCUGGAAUUCCUAAUGUAGGGGUAAUAUCCGUAGAUAUUAGGAGGAACACCAAUGGCGUAGGCAGGAUACUGGUCCAUUUCUGACACUGAUGCACGAAAGCGUGGGGAGCGAACCGG
rnacentral:rRNA from 1 species